rnacentral:lncRNA from 1 species
AAUAAACAAGCCCAUCUUCCACAGUGGGGGCUAAAGAGAUCAGAUAUUCCCUCUUCCUACUCUGUCAGGUAGUGCGAGGGUACUUGACCAAUUGCUUGUUCUUGCUGAGGACUCUGCACCUUGAGGAAGUGUCACUGAGACUGAGAUAGUUGAUAUCUCUGUUGCAUCAUCAACAUUCCAGAAGAAGCAGCUACUUGUUUCCUCUGGCAGCACCACCAGAAGUUCUCACCAAGUUAUUUCUGUGGUGUGACCUCCUUUUCUUUCAUACUGCCUGGAUUCUCAAGGUUCCUGCACAUGAUUUCAGCCUGGAAAUCUCUUGAAGAGGAAGGAAAAAAUCCUUGAGAAAACGUGGCUGUCAGAGCUGCAAAAUCUUCUUUCAUCUUCUCAUGAAUAGAAGCAGUCACCAACCAGGUGAUAGAGGCCCAGUGCAGCAGGUGAUGGAGGCUCAGGUGGUGGAGGCCCGGAGCAGCAAGUGAUGGAGUCCCAGGUGAUAGAGGUCCAGUGCAGCAGCCUGAGAAAACUCAUCCAGCUAGAAAAAGGAGGUAUCCUACUGGACAAAGAAGAGAAUUUGCUAGAUGUGGAAGCAGUUCAGACGAGGAAGGUCACCCCGGUCUUCCGCAGGCAGAUAUUUCCUGGUAUCCGUAUCCUUCUACCACAUGAAGAGCUCACAGGCUACACGGGACGGACAGAUGUAAAUAAAUAUAGAAAUGUGUUAAGAGCUACAGUGGAGGAGCAUGCAAUGGAUGAUUUCAAUGCUUGUCAAAGUAUCUUAAUGUCCCACUUUUAAAAAAUCCAAUAAUACUUUGGGCAUCAUCUGGGGCUUAGAAAAAGAACGUAAAAAGAAGACUGUGAACUUUUUGAAGCACCAUCUUGUUCACCUUUGGAUUCCUAGAGAGAAGUAUAGUACCUGAAUCAUUGUGGAGUGACUACUUACCCUCGUCUCACUGUGUGUCUAGCACAGGGCUAAACAUUUUACACACAGUAUUUCAUUUGAUUCUCAC